rnacentral:rRNA from 1 species
UACGUAGGCAGCGAGCGUUGUUCGGAGUUACUGGGCGUAAAGCGUGCGUAGGCGGUGUCUUAAGUUUGUUGUGAAAUCUCCCGGCUUAACCGGGAGGGUGCGGCGAAUACUGAGAUGCUGGAGUGCGGGAGAGGUAAGCGGAAUUCCUGGUGUAGCGGUGAAAUGCGUAGAUAUCAGGAGGAACACCUGCGGUGUAGACGGCUUACUGGACCGUAACUGACGCUGAGGCACGAAAGCUAGGGGAGCAAACGGG